AACCUCUUUACGAGACAUACCUUGCAAUAGAUGUUUGUUUAACUGGAAAUCCACGAGAGCAGCUGCCCAGUGCAACAGUACAUAUUUGCUUCUGAAUCCUUUCUCAAAGACACUAUUUAAACAUGUUGAUGAACUGAGCUGUAUUUUUCCCCACCUCCAUUCCAGCAAAAUAAGGAGACUCAGAAGAUAAAAUUUGUUUUGUUGUUGCAAGUAGUGCUUUGUGCCAUUUCUAAAACUGUGGUUCUGGUUUGGAGUAUAUGGAGGUGGGACUCUGGCUUGCCGCAGCACUGUGAUGUUUGAAUGGAAGUCCCUUUUGGGUACCUCUCCCACAAAGACUGGAAUUUCCUUUGUUUUGUGCUCCUCAGUAAUCCAUGAAUUUGAGCUCAGACUUGUGAGUUCCCUGGAUGUUUGUCUCCUUCUGCAAUACCCUGCUGUGUGACCCCUUCCACGGCACUCAAGCACAACCUCAACGUUUGCUUCAGCCAAAUACUUCAGCACUGGAAAUGAGUGAGGAAGAAAGUGGCAGAAUCCAAAAUGGCCAUGUGGGUCUGAGUAAUGGAAGUGGAAUUCACAAUGGGGUCAAGCAUAUGCCUGCAGACAACAGAAAGCUUUCAUCUCCUGUUUCAGAAAAAAUGUACAGAAAAAUUCAGUCCACCUUGUCUGUCAACAGCAAUAGCAGCAAGAAGAGUAAAAUAAGCUCUGUGUUUUCUCAAAAGCAAGGUACUUCACCAAAAGGAACUUUAUCUUCAUUCCGCUAACUUCUGUGGACUCCAUGCUCUAUUCCUUCUCAUUCAGGGGAGCUCAGGAGAUCGGAAAUCGUAUCCAGGCAUUAAGAAGUUAAAACUGUAUCCAGAUCGUGAAGAAAACCACAUGGGCAGCUGGAGGCCUUUUCUGCCACGUGGAGAGGCGAGUUGAGCUGAGCCGAGCCAGCAGGGCCAGGGCCAUGCAGCCGGAGCCGGGGCCCACCAGGCCAGGGCCGGGGGCCGUGACCAUGCGGCCGGGCCAGGCCCCCCCACCAAGCCCGGAGCCAGCCGGGGCCAGUGCCCCAGCCAGAGCCACCUCACUCCCCAGGGGCCGGAAGCAGAAAGAGAGCAUUUAACUUGAUCCACUGUGAUGUGUGAAAGUGAAAUAACUUUUCAUUGGCUUCCCGAGCUGUCCAUCACCAAAUCAGCUCUCUGAUUGGUGCCAGCAGCUCACAGGGGGCGCUCCCAGAGAUGGGAGAGCCCCUCCCACUCCCCACCCUCAUGGAGCUUUCCCUGAGGCGAAUCCACCCCUUCGCCCCAGCACGUGAAACCAGCACACCAGCAAAAGUGAAUGAUGAUGAAUUUUCUUUCCAAUAAUGGUUUGGAAAAAGGAAAGUGGACAAUAUGAAAGACUAUGGAUGAAUUUCUCUGCUAAGAUCAGACACUCCAUCAGUAAAUUCAAUAUAUUCCUUAAAAAUAUUGAGUGGUAGAAAUGCACUUUGUUCUUAGGAGGCCAGUAGAAAUUUUAACGUUAAGAUAAGUGUGUGUUUGGGCAUAAAUCCUGGGAUUAAAACAGAGAAGGCUUGUGGCUGUAGGCCUGGGGUAACUAUAGGUUCAGCCUUAUAGCUGGACCCUAUAGCUGGAGCCUAUAGGACUGAUGUAGAUGUAGCCCACAUGACCACAAUGAACUUGAUAUUGAUAUAUAUAUUAAAAAAAUACUACUAACACCUAACUUUCCCAGCUCUUUCAGUCCAAGAAGAAGCUUACAGAGCACCUGCUGAAGAUAGACAGUUGCUUUCUUGCAUUUGAAAUGCCAAGGGUCCUUUCUAGGCAGUGAAUAUGACCCUUUCUUGUAUUUCAGAUCUUUAUUUUUUUUUAAAUUUUGACAAACAAUUUUAAAUAAUAUGUUUUCCCUAAUUCUGUGCUUUUUGACAUAGUCUUUAGCGUCUUCAAUAUCCAUACUGAAAAUAAAUGACACCUUGCUUUGUAUCUAUGGACUUCAUUUUGUGAUGGAGCUCUGAAAUAAAGUUUGGAGGGUGAGAGCUUUCCCAAAGUUCACCAACAGGCAGCCUGGGAGCCUGGAGAUCUCCUGCUGCAGAGCCAGGAGUGAGAAAAUCCUUGGUGGCCAGAGGGUGAGCACUCCAAUGAGAUGUAAUUCAGCAGAGAAUCCCUGCCAACCUCUGGUCUUCUGGUGGCUUUCUGUGCUGUUGCUGAGGGUGAAGAUUUGCCAUUUUCAUAUAAAUAUAGAAACUACAUGUAAACUUUUCUAUCAAAUUCUGGAAGAAUAUUAAAGAAGUAAUUAGCAGCAUCACUGAUUAAUUUAUAUCUGCUUUGGAAAUUCCAGAUUUUAAUCUGUGUACUGUGAAUUCAAAUUUUUUCUUAUGAGAAAGCAUUUGUGAGAAAUUAAAGUGCUUUAUCUAUCUACCUGAUCUAACCUUCAGCUAAUUUGAAGUAUUUUAAUUUUGAAAAAUGAUCUGAUUAAAUACGCUGGUGGGAAAGACACAACCUUCAUCAAAACCCUUCUAAAAUGGUUCAGACUUCAUCAAAUGGAAGCAGAAUUUCACCAUAUGAAGACUGUUUCUCCAGUGAUGGAAGAUUUAGGUGGCAAGUUACUACUGCUCAUUCUGGUUCUGCUCACAGCUGUUGAUGAGAGCUCACUCUUGCUCUUUUGCUCUAGACAACAGCUGAGACAAGGGCUACAGAGGUCUGGGACUCUGGUUUGGAAGACACAAACACUAAUAAAUGGAACAUACUCCUGUUUCAAGGACCUUUUCCCACAGAGAUGUGAAACCACCUUCAGCCUCAGGGUGCUAAUCUGCUCACCCUCCAUCCAGAGUCUGGGAAAGACCAAGUGAGGGCACUAGAAGGGACUGUUAUUUGGACACUCUGACUUGGUGUCUGUAGAAUUCUACUUCUUUCUGUUGACUCUGGAGGGGUUUCCUCUGGAAGUAAAACUCAGAGAACACCUGUCUACAUAACCAGUUGGUGGAGAAAACAAUCAGUUUGCAGAAAGGCAGGAUAUAAGUUCUCCAGAAGGAAGCUAUCAUCCAUCCUGUGACCUGGACACCCCCAGAGUUUUCCAGUGCUGUACCAUGUAGUCAUGAUAGCCUGGAAUGGCAAUUUUGUCUCAGACAGUAAGGCAGUAGAAGGUCCUUUCCAUCUUGAGAUGUGCACAGCAGGAAGAACUGCCAUACUGCAGCUUUUAAGUGUUGAGAUCAUCAGAAGUUUGGAGCAGAAGAUUUUGAGUUUGUGACUUGUUAGUAAGAAAAAUAUUUGCAAAAGCUGCUGAAUAACUUGAGAUUUUUGGAUUGCGUUAUAGCUCUUCCUACAUUCCAAGAGUAGGUGGGUUCCUGAAAUUUCUGGAACUCAGGAUAUUCAGCAUGGAAUUCAUGUUAGUCAGUUCUGGAUGUCCAUGAUGAAGAUGGCUGUAAACUACUCAUCCAGACUCCUUUCACAGUCAUUAAAAGGUAAGUAUUUUUAGGAUGCAAAUCAUCUAGUACAGCAGAGUUGACUCAUCCUCUAGAAGUGCCCAAUUCUCCCCAGUAAACAUGAACUUAGAAAUUGACUUCAGGGUCUGCUAUUAGGUGACAUAACUUCCACUCAUAAAUCAUCAUGUUUUCUUCAGCCUACCAUACUAUGGGAGAUAGAGAUACUACACCUUCAAUUGCCAUAUUUCUGUCACUUUGAAAGAUGCUAAGCACUGAAUGGAGAAAAUAGGAAUUAUUUAUAAUCAAUUUUGAAGGCAUCCAGGAAGACUUCAAAUUACAGGUUAAAAAAAAGAUAAAGAAUAUUAAUAAAAGACGGACACUUAACUAAAAUAUCCAUUCAGUUGAAGAAAAAGUAGAUGCAAUGCCAAAGAAUGAAUUAGCCAAGGAACAAAAGUUAGUAGAGAAGGAAUACUAUCACUACUGGAAUCCAUUAAUAAAAGAGGAAUUUUUUUUUCAUGAACUAAGUGACUGUGUGACAGAAGUCCUUGGUUGUGCUGAGAAUUGAAGUAGGUGGUGACCAGGUGCAUCACUUUUCACAGUCCCUGUACCCUAGUUUUCAGAGGAACCCCCAAUUUGGUGUGCAACUGCCCAUCUUUCCAUCCCCUCUCAGCAUUUGAACCUCUAUAUUCAGCUCUGGGUGCCAGGAAUGGGCCACCUGGGCUUCCAGAAGGAACAUAUUACACACCUAGAAUGGGAGACUUCCAAAAAACAGAGAUAAAACAGGGACAGAAUGGUGUUGGUAUGAACAUUAUGGAGAAUCCCCUUUUUUAUUUUGACAAAGCUAUCAAAGGGUUAUGCUGGCCCAUGGAAGUUAUGCCAAGAACCCAACCCAGAGGUCUAUAGCCAAAUAACUUGCUGUCCCAAGAGUAGGCUGGGGAAAAGGAGGAUAUAGGCCCAUUUAUCUGGUAGGCAACUGAGGUCUAGAUAAAUCAGAGAAUGUCCCCAAACCUUGGUGAUGUGAAUCACCUGGGAUUGCUUCUAUUCUCAGCAGCUUACAGGAGUAUUUCAGUUGAUAUUCCUUUCUCUUGCUCAGAGAUCUGCAUCAGGAUUAUAAUUUUACUAAUUGUGAAAGAAAACCAGACAAAAUUUUACAAAGGUUUAUCUCUUCUACUUUUACUUUUAAUAAAAAUAACAUUUCUCAUAUUUGGAUCAUUCAGCUGAGAUAGUAAUACUCUGUUUUAAUAAGCACACUCAUGAAAUUUUAACUAGUACCUGGACUAAAGCUAAGUUACAGCAGUAUUUUACUGCACCAUAGACUACAGUUAUAUGGAAUGAACUUAAUCAGAUUAAAUGAGCAAAGGAAGAAUCUGUAGUGCCAGACCACCUCUCAUGAACUUCUGUGUAUUUCUGCAGAUAAUCUCUUAAUUGGAUUUUUAUGAGGAAUGUUUGCCUAUUUAUCCAGCUUAGUUGUUUUCUGUUACAGACAUGGCCCCUGUUUUCUCUGAACAUCCAGAGUUCUGUUGAAUACUUUAUGCAGUUCUGUACUUUCAAAACACAGAGGCAAACAAACACUACGGGAAAUAACAAUAUACAGAACAUAUCGUGUGACAAACUGCUAGAUUAGUACCCAGGUCAUUACUAUCAGACAAAGCUGCUUCCGUGAAUAGCUGCAUUUUUCAUUCUUCAUUCAUUGCACAAGGAAAGAAUGGCUGCAAAUGCUACUAUCAGGGCUGGAUUCCCUCCAGGCACCGAGGUCAUUGUUUGUAAAACGUUACAGGCACAGCCAGGGUGGCACUCGACCAAAGCCAGGCCCUUGCAGGAUAAAGGCAAAGAUGUGGAAUUUUCCACUGACCGAGACGGGUUCACAAUCCUACAGAGGCACACUUGGGUAGGGGACCAUAAAAAUAACACUGUGAUGGGUUGAGUAACAUUCAACUAAAGGUUAAUGUAAUUACCAGGAAAAGCCCUCUGCUAAUUACAGACUGUCCUGUCUUUUAAAGCUGUUAUAAUCACAUUGUUUUCAGAACUGUAGCUGAAGCUUGGUUAAUGCAGCCUGCUAUUUGUGUGUAUGUGACAACGUGGGUCAGCUCCAGUGCUCUCUCAAAAAUGCAUUAAAUAGUGAUUUUAUUGCCUCAGAGGUUGUGAGCAGGUGCCUGGCAGAGCCUUAGGUGCUUCAGUUACUGAAAAGAAAGGGAUGGGAGCAAAACACAGGACUGAGAACAGGUGCAAAGGGAAGAGGGCAAAGAUUACUGGAACAACUGCUUCUGCUGGCUGCAGGCAGAGGUGAACUGUGGUGUUGUUUCUUCAAACUCUGACCAUUGUCCCAUGUGCCAUAUCCCAUGUGCCCCCUUGUAGCCUUCCCCUCCCAGAGCUCAAGCUUAGGAAAAGUAGGCAAUGGGAGCUGCCCAGAACAGCCUUUGGCACCUGGUGAAUUCAACACUUUAGGUACUUAUGCUACACAAUAGAAGACAUGAUAAAAACGUUUUUUCUACAGUGUGAGACCUAGUCUCAAUGAUUUAAGACCAAAAUACACAGGCUAAGCAUAAAAAAUGCAUUACAAGCAAGUGCUGUGACUUCUAAGCAGUUUUCUUGCACUCCAAAUACUGCUAUAGAUCAAAACAUAAAGUUAUGUACCAAAAAACUUGUGUACAUAUCUGUUGCUUUUCCCUGGAUCUUCCAGAUAUAAAUAAAAUAAAAAUAGAAAUAAGUACUUCCAAAACUAAUAAUAAUUUUAUCAACAACAAUGAUAAUACAGUACAUUUUAAUUUGCUGUUAUGAAAAGAGCCAUAGGGCAACUUGAGAACACUGGGGAUAGGAUUCUUUCCUGAGACAAACACUUCUCAAACCCUGUCCUGCAAAAAGAGGUCUUGGUCUGUUUGAUGACAGCUAAAAUUAAGGAAAUUAGUCCCUAAAAACAGCACUGUACAGAAGCCUGGACAGAUGCUGAGGCACAUGGGCACUGGGGUUAGUGCAGGAGUUUGUAAUUAGAAUAAAAAUUGGGGAUUAACUGCUGUUUCUGUCAGCUGGCAUCAGGCAAGAACCCAAAAAGGAUUUGUUCAUAGCUGUGGCCCUGAGGGAGCUCAGGAAGUCUUUGGGUCUGAUGGUUAUGGAAAAAACAGGCUGGGAGCUAUGAAAAGGGGAGUGCUCUCUGGUGCAAAGGAAAGCAAAACUUCUUUGUCCAUAGUUUUCAGAUCCUCACUUGUGUUCAAGGAAAUUCCUGAUUUCAUAAUCAUCUUCUUAUAUAAAACUAAUGCAAGGGACUAAAUAUGUCCAAGCAAGUCAAGUGACUUGCAUCUCUCCCAGCAUACACUUCUGUUUGGUCCUUAAGCCACUACAUGGCUGCAUUUUGGCUUGAAUGGGCACUUAUUUGUCUCACUUAUUUUCCAUACAUCUUAGUAGCAUUACAGAGCAUUUUGCAAUUUCAGUGCUUUUUCUGCAACUUGAGAGAUUUUCUGAGCUGGAAAACCAACCAUUAUCAGUAACAUCCUUAGGUGACUUCACUUUAGCAGUGGGGAAAAGACUUUUUGCUCCAAGGAGCACUUGGGAGACUUUUUUGUGCCUUUCCCCUCUCUUUAAAGUACUUUUAAAAAUUUGCUCUACCCCUGCAGACCUCUGUAGGAAGGCAGAGAGAGCAGCAGCAGUAAUUUCAAUGGCAGAAACCUGCAAACCCUGUCAUGCUUGUUCCCAUAGCUGCUCCUGAUCCCAAAGGCAAAUGGGGCAACUACCCCUCCAGUUCCAUGGCCAGAGGUACAGAGACAACAUUUUCUUGGAUUUAUUAUAAAAAAGUUCUUUGAAGGCCAAUUUAUAUGAUUCUCCAACAGCUUUAAUCACAAGUGCUGGCUGGUGUAUGGCAAAGAAGAAAUGAAAUGAUAAAUAAUGUUUCUUUCCUUGCAGCUGCUCCUGGGUAUGUUAGAUUUGAAAUAAAUGUUUGUACAUUGAUAAUGUUUAAUAAAUAAUGAAGUUUUACUCUGAUUAAGUACAGACUGCUAGAAAGUCUGAGUGCCUCUACAAAAUGUAUACACAGGAAAGAAUCUGACUGCACACCUGAAGCACUUCCACAGGUCUCAGUCUGGAGGAACAGCCCCUUUUCCAGGGCUUUGUGAUAGUCCUGUUCCAGGCUUAUUCCCACAUGAAGCCACUACAGUGUUGUCUGACACUCAUCUGUGCUUAGCCCCAGCUUUGGGAGAUUAAAAGGGAAAGGAAAGGCCAUGUGAACCCUUUGCCCAAGAAAUCUUUAAUGAUUCCCAUAAGAUCCACGUUGUCCAGACUUAAAAUAUCACAAAUACUGUGGAAGUUGAAGUAUUCUUCAUUCUUUAUC